rnacentral:rRNA from 1 species
UACGUAGGGGGCUAGCGUUGUCCGGAUUUAUUGGGCGUAAAGAGCGUGUAGGCGGCCAGGUAGGUCUGCUGUGAAAACCUCGAGGGCUCAACCUCGAGACGUCGGCGGAAACCAUCUGGCUAGAGUCCGGAAGAGGAGAGUGGAAUUCCUGGUGUAGCGGUGAAAUGCGCAGAUAUCAGGAAGAACACCCGUGGCGAAGGCGGCUCUCUGGGACGGUACUGACGCUGAGACGCGAAAGCGUGGGGAGCGAACAGG